AAAUUGAAGAGUUUGAUCAUGGCUCAGAUUGAACGCUGGCGGCAGGCCUAACACAUGCAAGUCGAACGGUAACAGGAAUCAGCUUGCUGAUUUGCUGACGAGUGGCGGACGGGUGAGUAAUGUCUGGGAAACUGCCUGAUGGAGGGGGAUAACUACUGGAAACGGUAGCUAAUACCGCAUAAUGUCGCAAGAC
rnacentral:rRNA from 1 species